UUGAAGUUGAAACUCUAGCACAUGGUGGGGUGGGCAGUAAUGACGAAGUGUUGAUUUGACCUUAGGUGUCUUGACACCAGUGUGGCUGUAUAGGGACAUGGAAAGAAUUAGCUUUCAGGGUCCCCCUGCCUCAAUAAAGGAAAGUUGUUUCCAAGCUAAUUAAUAUGGUUUAUUCACUAUUAGGCAGUAGUACGUGGAAUUGGAUCCUGGGAAGGAACGAUGCAGCCGCGCUAAGGGGAAAGUAUCUCAGGACACACCGUGUUAAUUCCGUCUUGUCCGGCGUUUCCCUCUUCAGAGGACGUAGUCUUUUCCUUGGUUUUCCCAGUGUGACAAGCACACCAGAAUUCCACGCUGCGUCGUGCCUGACGGGCUAAGCCUUUCUGGGGGUGCGUUAAUACUGAGAGGCUGGGCAGGCGCAUAAAUACACAUGGGGAGGGAAGGGGGGGCCUUCCCAGGUGACCUGGGCUUGUGCCAUCGCUGUGUCAGCCUGAGGUCCUGGUUAGGGGCAGAUCACACACGUGUGGCCCCGAGUUCUGAGCGUGGGGAGAGGCCGCAUCCCAGCAGCUGCCGGCCCCUCCCCCUCCCCGCGUUGCUCAGAGAUGCCCGUCUGCGCCCCCAGCAGCCCCGCAGGCAUGCAGCAUGCAGCUCUGGUUACCGCGCCCAGUCAGCUGAGGGCAGCCCGAGGCCAUCCCUUUGUGGGUCAUCAUGCAUCCCUGGGUGUGUGGCAGACCCGCUGAGGGUGGUCAGGUGUGAACCAGGAGCUGGAGGGGGUGGGGAGGGGCCCAGGCUGCUCAGGGGUCCCGUGAACUGUAUUCCAGGAGCUGCGGCCUGUGCCCUUGACUUGACUUCCGGCACUUCUGUCUGGGCAUGUCCCUCUUUGGCCAGAAGGACUUCUUUUUUGCUGCUAGGGGCAGGUCGGUUUUAGGGGCUGGACGUUUGGUUUCUCUGUGGAUUUCCGGGUUCCACCUCUACUCAGGACUUUUCCCCGCCUGCCACCCUUGAACUUGAGAUAGUUGUGAGGCCCUGCUGUGGAUACGCGGGCAAGCCCCCGGCACCCGCGUCCCGUGUCCUCGCAUCCUCAUCGUGAUUCCGCCGUGGAGGGUCACCCCCCUUUUACACAGAUUGACACCCCGAAAUGGUGCUGUGUGGCUAGUGUGUGCAGCAGGAGGGGUGAAUAGGUUGACACAGGGCUUGCACGCGGACCUUCAGGUCACCACGGCUCCCUGAGCUGGGGCUCGAGUUCCGCGUCUGUGGGUCCCUCUUGCAGCAGCCCGUGGGCAGGUGGCUCCUUCCCUGAGGCACCGGUGGGCAGCAGGUGGCCCUGAGGUCGCCGUGGGCCCUGCAGCUGUGGGCGGACCAGCGAUACAUCAUCACUUCAGCAGGGCUCAGUCUUAAAUUUGAUGACAACAGGUGCCUUCUUGAGAGGGCCAGCCGGCAACAGCAGCAGCGUCCGAGCCAAGAGAACACUGAUGAGAGAGAAGGCCGGGGUUUCUGGAUGGUUCUUCCCCCAGCCCUUUGUUCCUUUUCUGAGCACAGCCAUGCCGCAGGACUGUCACCAAGGGGAGGGCGAGGCCACCCUGCGGGGGAGCGUGUAGGUCCCUCAGAGACGCGGUGAGGAGUAUUGGACUCUUAGGCCAAACGGGAACCAUUUAUCUCGUGAUUUGAGCAGAGACCGGUUUGGUUCUUAGCAGACGCUGACGAUGACACCCUUGUCCCGUGUCCUGGAGUCGCGUGCCAAGCCUGACGGUGACUGGCAUUUACCGAGGACUGGCCGUGCACAGGCCGAGCGCCGAGCUCCCCGGGCAUUACCACUUUGAAGGGACCCGAUCACCUGUGAAGCAGGUGCUGCCUUCUCCAUCUCAGGACAGAGUCCCAGGGCGGUGGUCACCUUGACCCGUGGAGCCUGGGCUGCUUCUCUGCAGUGUCCUGUUAACUCCGAGCUCUCUCCCCUGUCCUUUCCCACCAGCCCCUCUAGUGCAGUAAAUCUGUGAGGGCCAAGGGAUGAUUCUGCGGACGACUUUCUGGUUCUCGGUUUAAGUAGUAAGUGUGCAUGGGGCCCCCUGGAUCUGACAUGAGCCCAGCGUGAAGGAGGGCAGGUUCCAGAUAAGGCCAGUGCUCUCCUCAAGCCUGGGCCUCCUGCUUCUGUCCACAGUUACCACAUGAGGAUCUCUCUCCUGCUAAGAAAUGUCCAAGCCAGGCCUCGCUUUUGCUCACUGGCCAGCCAGGAGGAGAGAAAGCAGAGGCGCUUUCCUUGGAAGCAGUGGGUGAAGGGGCCCCCACCUGCCAUAGCAGGACAGAGGACGGGCGUUUUAAAGCCUAGAUGACCCAAAUAUGAGUCAGGCAGAGCAAAGAAUUCAAGUGGGGUUCAGGCAGGCCCCGGGUGGUAACAAGAGCUGACACAUCAAAGCGUUAGAGGCUUUAGAAAUAAUUCAUGCAGAGUAAGUGCAAGUAAGUGGGCACUUGGUGAUGCCUGUCGCAGGCUGAGGGGGGAUGCCGGGGCGCCCACGCUGAGCCUGUGUGCCCCUCUUCUCUCUCUAGAGUUUGGAUGAUGCAGGGCACAGAGCAGAGCGCAGGAGCCGUUCCGAAAGAGGGCGAAGUUCAAGUGGGGGCCAGACUGGUCCUCCCGGAAUGAGCCAGGGCAGAGUCUCUCAGGACCCCCCCCCCCGCUUCCAGACCUUUAUAGAGCUCAUCUCAUUUCAGUUUCAGAAAAGUAGACUUAUUAACUGUAGACCUAGAAGGUAAUUUUCAUAUGCCCGACUCAGUGUAAGAAGAAACUAAAAAUCCAGGUGGUAGGGACCCUUCUAGGUGAUGUGUCCUGAAUUUAUGUUUCCUAUAUGAAAGCCCCAGCCCCGGCGUGGACUCCACCAGGCUCUGGGUACUGCUCUUCCCUCCCUCUGUGUGAGUGUGUGCGCGUGCGUGCGCCCAUGCACGCACGCGCACACCCCCCCACCGCCACACCCCCUCAUCGUCAUCAACUACGGGUGGAACACGUUUGCCAAGUGACGUUUAAUAGAUUCACCGAGGUUGAUCAUACGGGCCAAAAAUAGAUGCCCUUUUCCAUGGCCAGAAGCAGCGGAGUGAACUUGGAGCUGCCUGGCAUUUACUGGCCGAGGCUGAGUUACUUGGUGGAACAGCCCGCUUAGCUUCCUGGGGUUGCUCGGGUAGGAGCGGGGGUGAUUUUAAUUAGCUAAGUCAUUCCUGUGUCUUGUUGUACUCCUAGAAGUUCUUGGAGGAAUCCUGCCAAGAACGUUUCCCCUGGCAAAUCUGCGGGGCGCUACUCCCUGUUGCCCUGUCGUCCAGGAUCUACGGAACCAAGUGUUUUUGAAUUUUUAGCCCUUUUCGCCUUUCUGUAGCUGCAUUCUUUUUCAAGUGCUUCUUUCCACCUUCACGUAACAAUGGGCACUUGCUUUAAAGAGUCUGACAGUCUUCCAAGCUUUUUAAUGUGCUUAAUCCACGAAAUAAGCUGUCACCGUUCAGUUGGGCAGUCUGCAGGCUCUUCUGAAUUUUUGGCUUAAAAUUCCGUGAAAUGUCACCGGCCGAGUUGUCUGUUCCUUGUUUAAUUACUUUGCCUAUGAAGUAUCUCAAGGAAAGAACCUGUGCCCACCAGUAAGAUUAGGUAGGUGUUAACAUGUUGCUUUUGUCUUCAGACCUUAGUUGAAAAGAAUGUUACAGACAGGCGUGUGUGUGUGUGUGUGUGUGUGUGUGUGUGUGUGUGUGUGUGUGUGUGUGUGUGUAUGUAUAUAUAUAUAUAUAUAUGCAGUUAGUUACAUAUCUGAUUUCCAGCUGUAUUCCAGACAAGGAAGACUUUGGAGAUGAAUAACGCGUGAUCAAGGCAUUUAAACAUUUAGAGACUUGGCGAUGGGUAGAGUAUGUCACAGCCUGGCAGUCAGGAGUGAAGGUGUCACAGAUGUCUAGGGGUUUCAUCGCCUUAAAUGGUUUUGAACCAAUGAAGCUGGAUUCUCUUAAAAAGACGGACAGCCCAUCGUGUGAACUAUAGAGUUUGUGGACAAAUUUAUAUUGGGCGCGUAGUGGCGUAAUGCCUGCAGACUCCUGCGAGGGCCCCUAAGUUCUUAGAGGACCGCUUUGCCUUUUGAAUCAGAGAGGUGCAAAGUUCGAUAAAGAAUGGCCCUUGUGGAUAAGCACAAAGUCAAGCGACAGCGAUUGGACAGAAUUUGUGAAGGUAAGAGCCAGCGUGAUUGGCGGUUUUUAACCAAAGACGCGUAGACCCGCCCUGGAAUCCUGCACCUGGUCUCCUAGCCAGGCUGCGACCCACACCCCACCCCCAGCUCCUCCCACCGUCCCACACCCUCUGCCAGUGUCCUUGGUGGUGUCCUU